UACGGAGGGUGCAAGCGUUGUCCGGAUUUAUUGGGUUUAAAGGGUGCGUAGGCGGCUAUUUAAGUCAGCGGUGAAAGACUUCAGCUUAACUGGGGCAGUGCCAUUGAUACUGGAUAGCUUGAGUGUUGGAGGGGUACAUGGAAUUGAUGGUGUAGCGGUGAAAUGCAUAGAUACCAUCAGGAACACCGAUAGCGAAGGCAUUGUACUGGCCAACAACUGACGCUGAGGCACGAAAGUGUGGGGAUCGAACAGG
rnacentral:misc_RNA from 1 species